GUAAUAAUUCCCCCUUUAAUUGGGGGAUAGUAUGAAUGGUUUGACGUGGAUAUGCUGUCUUUGUAGUAGAAUAAUGAAUUUUUUUUUUAAGUGAAAAAGCUUAAAUUUUUGUAAAAGAAGAGAAGACCCUAUCGAACUUGAUUAGGUGAUUGGAUUAAAUUUUAAAUUUUCCUUUUCAUUUAAUUUUUACUGGGGUAGUAGAAGUCUAAUAGUAACGACUUUUUUUUGUGUAUAAAUCCUGUAUGAUGGAAGUAAGCAAAAGUUACCGUAGGGAUAACAGCGUAAUAUUUUCCUGAAAGAUCUUAUUAAGGGAAUUG
rnacentral:rRNA from 1 species